AUUUAAGCUUCAUAUAUAAAGUAUUUCUCCUUUUUUUAGAA
rnacentral:tRNA from 1 species